rnacentral:rRNA from 1 species
UACGAAGGGGGCUAGCGUUGCUCGGAAUUACUGGGCGUAAAGGGCUCGUAGGUGGCCAACUAAGUCGGACGUGAAAUCCCUCGGCUUAACCGGGGAACUGCGUCCGAUACUGGAUGGCUUGAGUGUGGGAGAGGGAUGCGGAAUUCCAGGUGUAGCGGUGAAAUGCGUAGAUAUCUGGAGGAACACCGGUGGCGAAGGCGGCAUCCUGGACCAAUACUGACACUGAGGAGCGAAAGCCAGGGGAGCAAACGGG